rnacentral:rRNA from 1 species
UACGUAGGGCGCAAGCGUUAUCCGGAAUUAUUGGGCGUAAAGAGCUCGUAGGCGGUUUGUCGCGUCUGCCGUGAAAGUCCGGGGCUCAACUCCGGAUCUGCGGUGGGUACGGGCAGACUAGAGUGAUGUAGGGGAGACUGGAAUUCCUGGUGUAGCGGUGAAAUGCGCAGAUAUCAGGAGGAACACCGAUGGCGAAGGCAGGUCUCUGGGCAUUAACUGACGCUGAGGCGCGAAAGCUAGGGGAGCGAACAGG